CUGGACUGAAGAAAUGGCUACUUCCCAAAUUCAGUCUUUUACUGUGAAAACUUUGCCUUAUGUGCAACUUCAGUACAUUCCUCCUGUAUCUGCUGGGUAUGUUAGAAUACUUUGUGAAAUAAUACAGUUCUGAGCAGAAAUUACCGAUACUGGCUUUAAAGACUUUAGGCAGUGUAAAACAGGAGGUUUACCUGUAAGCAUCCCCAUGUAAUAGUAUUUAUUCUAGCAGAUGUUCUCGCCUUCCAGCUGUAGUAGUGACACACUUACAGUGAAAUUCAGUAUCCUCACAUGCGGAUAUUCUUUUCACUGACCAUACUUUCUCUAACAGAUACGCUGAUAUUUUAGGGGGGAAAGGAGAUGUGCUGCCAUUCUGAAGAUGUUUGUGAAAUUAGACCUAGCAAGCUUUAUGGAGCAUCUUACACGGAAGCUUAAAUCACUGCCAUUAUUUAUAUCAGCAUUAAGUAAUUGUGUAACCCAAAAGGAAUGGCGAUUUGUUAUUUUAAGCAAUCGGACAGGACAUAAGAGACUGCCUGAUAUCACAUGAUGGCAUGAAGAUUAAUGCUGAAAUCUUUAGUCAUACCAUGCUUAAAAAUGAUAGAUAGUACUGCUCAAUGUCUAAAAUGAGUUAUCUUUUUUGAAACAGAUUUUUUUCCUUGUGUGGGAAAUAAUUGUUUGCCUAUAACAGUAUGCGGAUGGAUAACCACGCUUGCAAAACAGCCUUAACUUUCAAGUUUUGGAGAAGCUGAUGAAUAUCCAAAUAAUUAAGCUACCAGCUUGCAUUAGAACAUAUCAGCCUUGUGGAUUUCCACUGUCCCACCAGACGGCCGCUGUAACACUUCUCCUAAACAAUAACAACACUGUCAUUUUCUUCCUGUCCCAAAGAACAUUUCUGCUGCGUUUUGUGGAGGAUAAUUAAGGUGACGUACUGCAGGGAAUGUGAAUAGGAAGCUAUCACUUUGGUCUAAGUAUCUAUAACAACAAGAGAAGUGUUGGGAUGCAUGGUGAACUGAGAGCCAGUGGACAACACCACCUCAUGUAGGUUGGUAUCGAGUUGUUCCUCGGGUUAAGCAGAUACAGGCUUGCUGACCUUCCUGGUUCUACUGUUCCAUGUGUUUUCUCUAAAAAUGCAGCUCUUCUUUAAUACCUUAUUUUCCCUUAAAUAGAAAUAAAGUUUCCAACCCUAGACAUUGGAGGGAAUCGCCUGGGAAUGUUACAAAGAACAUGGGACGGACCCUGGAUGGCAAAUAAAUGGAGCUGGGAAUGAAUUUGGGAAAUUUGGGAAUUUGGGAAAGCUUUUCGCAGUGCAGUCCUCUCUGUAUCUGAGGAAUUUGUAAAGGCAUAGUGUGUGCAGCAUUAUAAAAAUACGUGUAACAAAAAGUCUCUGUUUGCUACCGUUGGUUAUUAUCAGUGCUUACUGGGAGGAUGACUGAACGGGUACACCGUGUGGGUAGCGAAGUUACCCCCUAAAGAUUUGGAGUUCAUGUUCCUUGGCACCACAGGCAUUUUUUCUUAAUCUUUCCAGAUAUGCAUUUGCAGACCUUCUGCUGUCACUUUGGUUAUUUUCUCUGAGUUUUCUCCUAAUUUGGUACUGUACUGUUUUGUUAAUCAUGUCACUUGGGAUAUAUUCUUUUUGGUAGAACUUCAUGUUUCCUCGGCAAACUCAACUUCUGAAUUACUAGCUUUACAUACCAAUCUCAGCUUUCAUUAGAAAUAAAGUAUCUACACAUUUCAGUUUGCAAGAAAAUGCUUGAAACUAUGACUGGAGCACACUCUAGAGGCUUAAAAACUCAAUGGCAGAUAAAUAACUCUGAAUUUAUUCAUGUUUCAG
ensembl:lncRNA